GCCAGUGUGGUGAAGUGGUUUGAGUGUUGAACUGCAACUUUGGAGACCAGAGUUCAAAUCCCUGCUUAGCCA